AGUGAACGCUGGCGGUAGGCCUAACACAUGCAAGUCGAACGAACGCACCGGGGGUAGUGGCUGUCGCGGGUGGCGCGCGUCGGAACGUUCCGGUAUGCAUGGGAUUCUACUUUGUCACGUGUGCUAACAUCGGAUGUGUUCCUCGGAUGACAGAUUAAUCGUACUUAGAGCGGCCGGCGUUGGUUUAGCUAGGCGGUUGUGGUUAUGGCUCACCAGGGCUACGAUCAGUAGCUGGUCAGAGAGGAAGAGCAGCAACAUUGGGACUGAGACACGGCGCAAAAUCCUACGGGAGGCAGGAGAGGGGAAUCUUGCGAAAUGGGGGAAAGGCUGACGCAGCCAUGCCGGGUGAAUGAUGAAGGUCUUAGGAAUGUAAAAUUCUUUCACCGGGGACGAUAAUGACGGUACCCGGAGAAGAAGCCCCGGCUAACUUCGUG
rnacentral:rRNA from 1 species